CCUACGGGAGGCAGCAGUGAGGAAUAUUGGUCAAUGGCCGAGAGGCUGAACCAGCCAAGUAGCGUGAAGGAUGACUGCCCUACGGGUUGUAAACUUCUUUUAUAAAGGAAUAAAGUGAGGCACGUGUGCCUUUUUGUAUGUACUUUAUGAAUAAGGAUCGGCUAACUCCGUGCCAGCAGCCGCGGUAAUACGGAGGAUCCGAGCGUUAUCCGGAUUUAUUGGGUUUAAAGGGAGCGUAGAUGGGUUGUUAAGUCAGUUGUGAAAGUUUGCGGCUCAACCGUAAAAUUGCAAUUGAUACUGGCAGCCUUGAGUACAGUUGAGGUAGGCGGAAUUCGUGGUGUAGCGGUGAAAUGCUUAGAUAUCACGAAGAACUCCGAUUGCGAAGGCAGCUUACUAAACUGCCACUGACAUUGAUGCUCGAAAGUGUUGGUAUCAAACAGGAUUAGAUACCCGAGUAGUC
rnacentral:rRNA from 1 species